UUACAAAAACAUUUCUGAGGGGAAAAUGUUUUUAGUUUAACCUGCUCAAUGCUUUAGUAAAUAGCUGCAGUAUUUUGACUGUACAAAGGUAGCAUAAUCAUUAGUCUUUUGAUUGAAGGCUUGUAUGAAUGGUUGAACAGAAUAUUAACUUUUUUAAUUACACGAUGUUUUAAUUUAUAAUUUAUGUAAAAAUGCAUAAUUAUUUAAAAGGGACGAUAAGACCCUAUAGAAUUUAAAAAUAGUUUUGAAAAAUUUAUAUUUUUUUGUUGGGGUGACAAUAAACAAACUUUUAUAUAAUUUUCACUAAUGAGUGAUUAAUUGAUCCUAAUAAUUUAGAUAGAGAGAUGAAAUUACCUUAGGGAUAACAGCAUAAUUUUUUUUGAAAGAUCUUAUUAAUAAAAAAGAUUAUGACCUCGAUGUUGAAUUAAAAUAAAAUUUUGGUGUAAAAGCUUAAUUUCUAGUCUGUUCGACUUUAAAUUUUACGUGAUCUAGUUCCAAA
rnacentral:rRNA from 1 species